CAGGGGCACCAUUACAGGCUCUUCCUCCUGCCUCAACCCAAUUUAAAAGGCAUAGUUCCAUUUAAGAUUAUCUUUAUUGAAGUAACCAAUCAUAAUAUCACAAAUGCUUUACGGACCUCGGGGGAAGAUGGUGGAAGAGUAAGGCACGGAGAUCACCUUCCUCCCCACAGAUACACCAGAAAUACAUCUACACGUGGAACAACUCCUACAGACCACCUACUGAACGCUGGCAGAAGACCUCAGACAUCCCAAAAGGCAAGAAACUCCCCACGUACCUGGGGAGGGCAAAAGAAAAAAAGAAAAAACAGAGACAAAAGAAUAGGGACGCGACCUGCACCAGUGGGAGGGAGCCGUGAAGGAGGAAAGGUUUCCACACACUAGAAGCCCCUUCGCGGGCGGAGACUGCGGGAGGUGGAGGGGGGAGAUUCGGGGCCGCGGAGGAGAGCACAACAACAGGGGUGCGGAGGGCAAAGCGGAGAUUCCCACACAGAGGAUCAGGGCUGACCGGCACUCACCAGCCCGAGAGGCUUGUCUGCUCACCCGCCAGGGCGGGCGGGGCUGCGAGCUGAGGCUCGGGCUUUGGUCGGAGCGCAGGGAGAGGACGGGGGUUGGCUGCGUGAACACAGCCUGAAGGGGUUAGUGCACCACGGCUAGCUGGGAGGGAGUCCGGGAAAAGGUCUGGAGCAGCCGAAGAGGCAAGAGACUUUUUCUUCCCUCUUUGUUUCCUGGUGCACGAGGAAAGGGGAUUAAAAGCGCUGCUUAAAGGAGCUCCAGAGACGCGCGCGAGCCACGGCUAAAAGCUCGGACCCCAGAGACAGGCGGGAGACGGUAAAGCUGCUGCUGCCGCCACCAAGGGGCCUGUGUGCGAGCACAGGUCACUAUCCACACCCCUCUUCCGGGGAGCCUGUGCAGCCCGCCACCGCCAGGCUCCCGGGAUCCAGGGACAACUACCCUGGGAGAACGCACGGCGUGCCGCAGGCCCGCCCCGCACUCCGCGCCCCUCCCUCUCCCCGGCCUGAGUGAGCCAGAGCCCCCGAAUCAGCGGCUCCUUUAACCCCAUCCUGUCUGAGCAAAAAACAGACGCCCUCCAGAUGCCCUCCAGCGACCUACACGCAGAGGCGGGGCCAAAUCCAAAGCUGAGCCCCUGGGAGCUGUGAGAACAAAGAAGAGAAAAGGAAAUCUCUCCCAGCAGCCUCAGAAGCAGCGGAUUAAAGCUCCACAAUCAACUUGAUGUACCCUGCAUCUGUGGAAUACCUGAAUAGACAACGAAUCAUCCCAAAUUGAGGAGGUG